rnacentral:lncRNA from 1 species
UGGGGUGUCAAAGCAUAUCCAUUCUCAGUAACUAGAGAAGAUGAGCUUUGGGAAGAACAUGGAUGGUCGAUGCAGCUCUUGCUUGAUGGAAUUCAUCCUGCAUUUGAAACAUGGGUAAGGUUUUCUCAUUCUAAGUUUAAAAAAUUUAAAUUCUUUUGAUCAGAUUGUGAUGAUGAGACUCUUGUUCAACUCCAUGAAUCAGGUGAAACAAGGAAGUGAAAUCUGCAUAUUCGGAAGCGAGAAUUUGGAUUGGGUUGAUGAAUUUGUGUCACUAGCAAGAAAGAUUCAGAAUCUAGGGUUCCAAUUAGAGCUAGUUUACCUCAGCAACGAGCGAACAAAAGCCAUGGAAGAGAGCUCAAUCUUGUUCAGUCCUACAGUACAACAGCUCUUCUGGCUACGAUUAGAAAGCAUCGAACGAUCCAAACUAAAGCGAACUGAACCAUCGAAACCUGAUCGUGUUUUCGAAGAAGUUACGAAACUUCUCGACUUCGAUUACGGUAAACACAAGGGUUGGGGGAUCAUCGGAAAAGGAUCAGAAGCGGUGACGG